CAAUAGCGUAUAUUAAAGUUGUUGCAGUUAAAAAGCUCGUAGUUGGAUUUCUGGUGGGAGCGAUCGGUCUGGCGCUUAGCGCGAGUACUUGCAUCGUCUCCGGCCAUCCUUGGGGAGAGUCUGUCUGGCAUUAGGUUGUCGGGCAGAGGAUCCUCAUCGUUUACUGUGAAAAAAUUAGAGUGUUCAAAGCAGGCUUAUGCCGUUGAAUAUAUUAGCAUAGAAUAAUAAGAUAGGACUUUGGUACUAUUUUGUUGGUUUGCGCACCAAAGUAAUGAUUAAUAGGGACAGUUGGGGGUAUUCGUAUUCCGUUGUCAGAGGUGAAAUUCUUGGAUUUACGGAAGACGAACUACUGCGAAAGCAUUUACCAAGGAUGUUUUCAUUAA
rnacentral:rRNA from 1 species